rnacentral:tRNA from 1 species
AGCAGAGUGGCUCAGUGGAAAGAGCACGGGCUUUGGAGUCAGAGGUCAUGAGUUCAAAUCCCAGCUCUGCCA